rnacentral:tRNA from 1 species
GGGGUUGUGGCUCAGUGGUAGAGCACUUGCCUAGCACAUGUGCAGGCACUGGGUUUGAUCCUCAGCACCUCA